UACGUAGGGGGCAAGCGUUGUCCGGAAUUAUUGGGCGUAAAGAGCGUGUAGGCGGUCCGGUAAGUCAGCUGUGAAAGUCAAGGGCUCAACCCUUGAAUGCCGGUUGAUACUGUCGGGCUAGAGUCCGGAAGAGGCGAGUGGAAUUCCCGGUGUAGCGGUGAAAUGCGUAGAUAUCAGGAGGAACACCGGUGGCGAAGGCGGCUCUCUGGACGGUGACUGACGCUGAGACGCGAAAGCGUGGGGAGCAAACAGG
rnacentral:rRNA from 1 species